rnacentral:rRNA from 1 species
GACGAACGCUGGCGGCGUGCUUAACACAUGCAAGUCGAACGGAAAGGCCCCUUUUGGGGUACUCGAGUGGCGAACGGGUGUGUAACACGUGAGUAACCUGCCCUUGAAUUCGGGAUAACUUCAGGAAACUGGGGCUAAUACCGGCUAGGAAUCCUUGCUGCAUGGUGGGGGUUGGAAAGCUUCGGCGGUUUUGGAUGGACUCGCGGCUUAUCAGCUUGUUGGUGGGGUAGUGGCUUACCAAGGCUUUGACGGGUAGCCGGCCUGAGAGGGCGACCGGCCACAUUGGGACUGAGAUACGGCCCAGACUCCUACGGGAGGCAGAAGGGGGGAAGAUUGCACAAUGGGCGGAAGCCUGAUGCAGCAACGCCGCGUGCGGGAUGACGGCCUUCGGGUUGUAAACCGCUUUCAGCAGGGGCGAAGCUUGUGGUGACGGUACCUGCAGAAGAAGCACCGGCUAACUACGUG